rnacentral:rRNA from 1 species
AUGCCGCGCCUGACCCAGCCGUCUAUAAAACCAGUGUCCGUCCACUCCCUAUGCCGCCCAGAUACACAUACCAUCCACCAUUUGUCCGUCGCCAGUAGCCACAGAAUCCAUCGCCAGAGCCCGGAGAGAGACAGAGCACAACACUCCACACGCCGGCCGUUCCAUUUCGCUCCGCCCUCCCGCCUUGUCUCGUUGCUGAGUUGCCGUCGGCUCGCCCGGAGCAGUUCGCCGCUGUUGAAGCAACCUCCCCGGUCGCUCGCCGCCAUGAAGAAGGUUGUGCUCAAGCUGGAUGUGCACGACGACAGGCACAAGGCCAAGGCGCUCAAGGCCGUCUCCGGUCUCCACGGCAUCGACCAGCUGGGCGUGGACAUGAAGGACCAGAUGAUGACCAUCGUGGGCACCGUCGACCCCGUCGCCGUCGUCGGCAAGCUGCGCAAGCUCUUCCCCGGCGUGCAGAUCGUCUCCGUCGGCCCGGCCAAGGAGGAGAAGAAGGACGACAAGAAGGACGGCGGCGGGGACAAGAAGCCCGCCGGAGACAAGAAGGAGGGCGACAAGAAAGACGGGGACAAGAAGGACGGCGGCGACAAGAAGCAGGAGGCGAAGCCGCCCAUGUCGGUGUACCCGCCCUACGGCUACGCGCACUACGGGUACCCGCCGCCGCCGCGCUACUUCGUCCGCAGCGCCGAGGAGGAUCCCAAUUCGUGCGUCAUCUGCUGA